rnacentral:rRNA from 1 species
GUGCCAGCAGCCGCGGUAAUACCGGCAGCCCGAGUGAUGGCCGAUCUUAUUGGGCCUAAAGCGUCCGUAGCUGGCCGUGCAAGUCCAUCGGGAAAUCCGCGCGCUUAACGCGCGGGCGUCCAGCGGAAACUGUUCAGCUUGGGACCGGAAGACCUGAGGGGUACGUCUGGGGUAGGAGUGAAAUCCUGUAAUCCUGGACGGACCGCCGGUGGCGAAAGCGCCUCAGGAGAACGGAUCCGACAGUGAGGGACGAAAGCCAGGGUCUCGAACCGGAUUAGAUACCCGAGUAGU